AUGACCAGGGCCAGAAUAAUCCUGGUCAGGCCACGCAGGAGAGCAAGAAGAACUCCAUUUUGUAUAUUCAAUUCUAAAUCUCUCUGUUUACAGGCACAGCAUGUUUGCACAUCUAAUGCAAAGAUCUAACCACACACAGCACUUCUAAGAAAUUCUAGCAUAAACCACAAGAGCAAGAGGAUGCAGCCCACCGCAAAUUCUAAGUAGAGCACAACCACAAUUGUGCCUGUAAAAUUCCACAUAGACACGUGUAUGAAGGUACCAGGUACAUAACGCCACCUAGUAGAGUUGGGCGGGUGACUUUGCAUCUUGGGGUGCUCUCUCUUGAUUGGUUGAUGAAGUACUGCAGAAAGGCUGAUCUUCACUUCACUCUGUCAAAAAAGGUAUAAAAGCACUCUGUGUAUGCCCAUGGGUCGGGCAGAAUGAGAAACUCAUUCUCACUGCCACCAUUUAUUGCAAUAAAUGUUUUAAUAAAUCUGUUUUAUAAUAUGUACAACUGCCUGAGAUUUCGUCUGGUCAAUUUGGGAAGCCAAUCAUCCAUAUUACAUUUCUGGUGUCCUAACAUUUCUGGUGCCAUGCGUGACUCGGAUGAGGGCUUUUCCCUGAACCAGAGGCAGUCCCCUUUUUGCCCCACUGGACAGGGCGCAGAUUCCUAACGGCGCCUCUGGUCUGGUGCACACCAGCAGACUUUUUCCGGAGGAUCAGAGGUGGCCCUUGAGUUUCCGUGCCCUGGACGAAGAGGCAAAAGGACUGAGGUUGGAAGGGAAGAACAGGAAAAGCCGGCUGGGGAAAUCACUCGAGCGAAGAGCGUGUAGCCUUGCGGAGCCUGACACGAUGGUUCCAGCCUGAUGCUAGCGAGUCCCUGAGUGAAUCCUUGAAGGAAGGGAGACGAGACCCUCUUCAUUCCUAGGUGGUGAGGUAUCCAUUCCAACCGGUGAAAGUGCCUGAGGUGACCCCCUGCAUCCACACCCUGCUGUACCUAAUCAGAAGUGGGUACCCAGCGCACGGUGCACCAGUUUCCCCUUGCAGCGUCUGACCGGCAAAAGACGCCCAGCGCAUGGGAAACCGAAGUAGCCCCUGCUGUGACACUCCGGACGCUGUCACUCGACGCACGGGUUGAGGAAUGUCCAUCUUAUGCAGCACCAAACAUCAAGGAGACAAGGAGAUGCAGUAAAUCUUAGACCCUUAUAUAUGUAUGUAUGUAUGUAUAUUUGUAUGGGAGGCAUCAAUUGAGUGGGACCCACAGUAGAAGUCUACCUGCCCCCAAAGCAGUAUCCUUAAUUUGGAAGGAAGGGCAGUGUACCUGCCUCACUUGAGCGAACAGACCCAAAACAGUUUCAGAAAUUGGACCAUGGAAAAUUAUGGGAAGGGUUCCAGCAACUCCCUAGGUCAUACAGACAUGGGGUGGGUUCCAGCAACUCCCUAGGUCAUACAGAUAUGGGGAGGGUUCCAGCAACUCCCUAGAUGAUACAGGGCUAUAGCUGGGUUGGGGAUGUAACUGGAAGAAGUUGGCCAGGUGCACCCCUCAGUUCUGGCUUUGGAAAUGAUGGUAGCCCACUGAUGUCUAAUGUAAGCCUCUCCUGACUCUGGCAAACUGGAACAAUAGCCAUUCUUUCUGUAGCCAAAUGCUCAGCUAGGACAAACCUCCAAUUGUUAUAUAUAUAUAUAUAUUCCUGGCCUUUAGAACUGUGUAGGAACUUUUGAAACCCACUGAUUUGCAUUGAAGCCCAGUACUGAGCUGAGAGAGAACUGUGUAUUUUCCUGCUGACAUAAAGUUUUGGAAACAGUGGCUAAAGCCCCUUGGCUUUUAGAUUUCCAGCAACUAUAGUAUCCUAGUAUCUCUGAAGACUAGUGUGGCCAUUAUAGAUUCAUGGCCCACCUGAGAGAAAGAACCCUUUGUUGCCAAAAGUCUGUAUUGCGAUUUUUUUGUUGUGCCUCAAAUGGAAAUGCAAUGUAGUAGAAAGUGGCACUUGUGCUUCGACAAAAAUGAUGUUUGUAUAAUGCAAAUAUGUGUUUCCAGUUAGGUCUAACACGAAGGCUAAAAACUUCAACAGAAAAUGCUUAGGAGUUAUGGAAAUAGAUUAAUCAAAAGCUGAACCAGGCUUAAAUUCAGCAAGCAUUUUUACUCUGCUUUAUAGCAUCAAGCUGAAGCAGGAAAAAAAAAAACUUUCAUGGUUAUUUUACACUGACAGUUCUGCAGACUGAAUGCCUUAAUCUACAGGCUCUCAGAGUUUGUGUAU